rnacentral:pre_miRNA from 1 species
AGCAGGAUAUCAAUAGCUAGGAUUGAGAGGCAUCAGGAGAGCACCUUCAACGGGUAACUUUCCAUCUGCAUCCCGGCUAUCGGAACGGCUGCU